CAUGUAGGCGGACUGCUAAGUCUGAUGUGAAAGCCCGGGGCUCAACCCCGGAAGUGCAUUGGAUACUGGUAGUCUUGAGUAUGGGAGAGGAAAGUGGAAUUCCGAGUGUAGGAGUGAAAUCCGUAGAUAUUCGGAGGAACACCAGUGGCGAAGGCGGCUUUCUGGACCAAUACUGACGCUGAGAUGCGAAAGCGUGGGGAGCGAACA
rnacentral:rRNA from 1 species